UUUGUCUAAAGUUCUUCUUUCAACAAUUGUGUGUUAAGAUAUAACUCUGGGAGCAUUUUGCAAAAUGCGUUGGAAGAGGGAGAAAACGUUGGCAUGAGGAUGAGUUUGGAUGCCUUUGAAAUAAUCCAGGCAAUAGAUAACUUUAAGAAGAGUGUUCCAGGUGGAGUGAAUAGCUUCUGCAGAAGCCCACAAUCUAAAUGCCCAACAGGGAACAUCUGUUUGGAACUCCCUUAGCUUGCUCUUCGCCAGUGCUGCUGACUUUCAUCAUGCCGGUUCACCAGCUCUGUCAGCUUGGAGGAAGUGAAAGCCCUACUCCUGGCAAUGGGUCAUUUGAGCUUACAGGCGUCAACCACUGACUUGAAGAUGUAAGCAGAUGACUAAUGUCGUUUACACAGAGUAGAAGGAUUUCUUCUCCCCAUUUCAAAUGAAUGACAUGCUGACAACAUAUAUCCUAAAGAAUCUGAGUAUUUUGAUGUUGACAUAGAGGAAAACCAGCCCAACUAACAUCUGUUGAGUGCUUGGAAUGUGCCAGACACUGUGCUAUGUGUUUUAUAUCUAUUCUAAUUUAAAACUCAUAUCAAAUUUAAGAUGUUGGUGUUAAUGUAUCAGUUUUACAGAUGAUUAACCUGUCUUCUGAUGCUUAAUGAGACUUGUGUGUUGCCAACGUGCAUAUGGCUAGCAAUGGAAAGUAUUGAUAUUAGAAUUAAGGUCUAUUUAAUUCCAGAGUCAAUGCAUAUUUCUCUGCCCCCUAAUCUCCACUAUAGGAACGAAUACAUUCUGGGAAUUCUUUCACAAGCUGUCAUUUGGAGGAUAGUACAGAAAUUACAGAAUUUCAACUGAGAAGGUCUGAAUGGAUGCAGAAUUUUGUUAUGAACUAGGUGUGUGACUUUGGACAAGUUAUUUUCUCAUCUUUUUGAGUCUCGUUAUUACUGGUGGUAUUAUACAUGUAAUGGUAAGGUGUUUCAAGUUUGGGUUCCAGCUCUGUAAUGAUUUAGCUGGAUGGUUUGGGGAAAACCGCUUUACCUGUGUAGGCCUUAGUUUUGUUUCUUUGUUUAUUUUAUCUGUAAAAUGAAAGGACUAUCGAAGCCUUGUUCCUGUUAGGUUUGAAAUUUUGUUAUACUAAGAGUUUCAAUUUCAAUAAUAAUAGUUCCGCCCAGGCAGCUAGUGGGAGCAAUUCUAAUAGUUUAUUAAUACAGAAACGAUCUUCUUUGAACAGAAAUACUAUCCUGGCCAGCCUGGGCUCCAGCCAGAUAUAUUUACAGAGCAUCCUUUAGACUGAAAUAGAAAUUUAUUGCUCA